CUUACAACUACUUCCCCAAGGCUGGCCAUGGAAAAAGAUUUUGUUUUCCCUAAGACAGGUCACAGAAACACUAAAAAAUUCAUCAUAAGGAAUUGGUUGACAUAUCCAUGGACAGGAGGUCCUAAGAACCUAUCAUCCAGAGGACUCCUGUCCCAUACACUAAAGGAAGGGAGGACAAAGAGUCUGAGCAGAAAGUCUUUGGUUGGUUUCCCCACUAAGUCUACUAUCACUCAUGGAUAAGCAAUUAAGUCUCUUAAAAAAACUGAAGAAGACAUGGUCUGGGGGCCAAUAGAUACACAACCAUUUGCGAGUUUCCAGAGGAUGGCACCCCAGGAGAUGGUCUGGAAACUCUGCACCCCUUCACGUACCUCAGCCAGUGCAUCUCUGUGUCUAUAUUUUUAAAAUGUUCUUUAAAAUCAGCCAGUAAAUGUAUUUCUAUAAAUACUUUUAAAUACAAAUAAAUUCUAUUAGCCAUUCCAGCAAAUUCAAAGCCAAGGAGGAGACUGAGACAUUUAAUUUAUAAUUAGUUAACCAACCGGUCAUUAGUUAACCAACAGGUCAAACAACGCAGGGCUUGUUGUUGAUAUCAAAAAUAAGGAGCUGAAGAACAGUCUUGCGACUGACCCUGCAGAUGGGAAGAUUUCAUGCAUUUGCAGGCUAUUGAAAGACUUUUUACUGGGGAGACUACACUAGAGUGUUGAUUUAUUGUACUUUACUCAAUAAAGCUGCACAAAGUCCUCAACCUACUGAUCUUAUCCAAUGCAAUGGAAGCAUGUGGACAGGGAAGUUGGUGAUUCAAGAGGACAGGAGGGCCAAAUACAAAUGUUCUCAAAGAACCAAGAUGUCUGCAGCUGAUGUCGUCUUUACCUGGACAGUCACAGCAUCCUGGGACCAUUGAGGUCUCAACUGUAACCAGAAGCACAAGGAGUUAUAUUUCCAUAUAAGAUAGGGGGCUCCCAUGGCAAGAUACUAGGCCUCAGACAAGCCCUAAUCACAAUUUAACUGUGAAAUGAUUUUUCUCCAAAAUAUAUAGAAUAGCCCUCGAUACUGAAGAAAUUGAGGAAUGAUACAGGCAGAUAUUUAGGAGGAGGAAACUCUAGUGGAAGACUAAGGAAAAUACAAAUAACACUAAGUAAAUGUAUUUCCAAUGUGACUAAGAAAAAAAAACAGGGCAAAAACCACACCAGACCAGACCAGACCAGACCAGAGCAGACGAAGCCAAACUACUGUUAGGCUUUGACCAUGUAAAUUAAGAAUUCCAAAUUUGUUAGCAAAAUGUAUCAGCAAAUUCCUAAGUCUCAAAUGCCAAGGGUUUCAGUAUUUUUAAUGUUAAAAUUGUUAUGUGCUUUCAGAGGUUAUUUAUGGGAUCAUUGUUACGUAGGUAGAGACUACAUGGUUUGUUGAGUAAUUGAGUGAAUUAAUAAAU